rnacentral:rRNA from 1 species
UACGUAGGGGGCAAGCGUUGUCCGGAUUUAUUGGGCGUAAAGAGCGUGUAGGCGGUCUGGUAGGUCCGUUGUGAAAACUCGAGGCUCAACCUCGAGACGCCGAUGGAAACCAUCAGACUAGAGUCCGGAAGAGGAGAGUGGAAUCCUGGUGUAGCGGUGAAAUGCGCAGAUAUCAGGAAGAACACCCGUGGCUAAGGCGGCUCUCUAGUACGGUACUGACGCUGAGACGCGAAAGCGUGGGGAGCGAACAGG